GUCCAGGUGCGCAGGAGCGGGCUACUUCCACUCAUAAUGGGGCGGUCGCGGGUUCGAAUCCCGUCGUCGGCU
rnacentral:tRNA from 1 species